GACGAACGCUGGCGGCGUGCUUAAUACAUGCAAGUCGACGACUUUUAGAGUAGCAAUAUUCUAAAGGAAGUGGCGCACGGGUGAGUAACACGUAGGUAAUCUGCCUUCAGGACUGACACAACUCGUCGAAAAGACGGGCUAAUAUCAGAUAAUGCAGCGGCUCCGCAUGGAGACAGUUUGUUAAAGUACAAGCGCCUGAAGAUGAGCCUGCGGUCCAUUAGCUAGUUGGUAGAGUAACAGCCUACCAAGGCAACGAUGGAUAGCUGGUCUGAGAGGAUGAUCAGCCACACUGGAACUGAGACACGGUCCAGACUCCUACGGGAGGCAGCAGUAAGGAAUAUUGCUCAAUGGCCGAAAGGCUGAAGCAGCAACGCGCGUGAAGGAUGAAUGGCCUUUGGCCUGUAAACUUCUGUAAAAAGGGAAACAAAUCAGGCAUGUCCUGAUUUGAUUGUACCUUUGAAGU
rnacentral:rRNA from 1 species